rnacentral:rRNA from 1 species
AUUGAACGCUGGCGGAAUGCCUUACACAUGCAAGUCGAACGGCAGCACGGGUGCUUGCACCUGGUGGCGAGUGGCGAACGGGUGAGUAAUACAUCGGAACGUACCCAGUCGUGGGGGAUAACGUAGCGAAAGUUACGCUAAUACCGCAUACGUCCUGAGGGAGAAAGCGGGGGACCGUAAGGCCUCGCGCGAUUGGAGCGGCCGAUGGCGGAGUAGCUAGUUGGUGGGGUAAAGGCCUACCAAGGCGACGAUCCGUAGCGGGUCUGAGAGGACGGCCCGCCACACUGGAACUGAGACGCGGUCCAGACUCCUACGGGAGGCAGCAGUGGGGAAUUUUGGACAAUGGGCGAAAGCCUGAUCCAGCCAUUCCGCGUGAGUGAAGAAGGCCUUCGGGUUGUAAAGCUCUUUCGGCAGGGAAGAAACGGCUUGGGAUAAUACCCCGGGCUAAUGACGGUACCUGAAGAAGAAGCACCGGCUAACUACGUGCCAGCCGCCGCCGUAA